GCCUAACACAUGCAAGUCGAGCGGUAGAGAGAAGCUUGCUUCUCUUGAGAGCGGCGGACGGGUGAGCAAUGCCUAGGAAUCUGCCUGGUAGUGGGGGAUAACGUUCGGAAACGGACGCUAAUACCGCAUACGUCCUACGGGAGAAAGCAGGGGACCUUCGGGCCUUGCGCUAUCAGAUGAGCCUAGGUCGGAUUAGCUAGUUGGUGGGGUAAUGGCUCACCAAGGCGACGAUCCGUAACUGGUCUGAGAGGAUGAUCAGUCACACUGGAACUGAGACACGGUCCAGACUCCUACGGGAGGCAGCAGUGGGGAAUAUUGGACAAUGGGCGAAAGCCUGAUCCAGCCAUGCCGCGUGUGAAGAAGGUCUUCGGAUUGUAAAGCACUUUAAGUUGGGAGGAAGGGCAGUAAAUUAAUACUUUGCUGUUUUGACGUUACCGACAGAAUAAGCACCGGCUAACUCUGUGCCAGCAGCCGCGGUAAUACAGAGGGUGCAAGCGUUAAUCGGAAUUACUGGGCGUAAAGCGCGCGUA
rnacentral:rRNA from 1 species